rnacentral:lncRNA from 1 species
AAGAUCGACGGCCCCGAUCGGACCUGACCGAACCGGUACCCCCGGCUAAUCGCGACCGUUGGUUAAAAGAUCAACGCCGCAUGUUCUUUUCUUCUCCACCUACCCCAGGCAGCGGCGCCGCCGCCAUGGCUACACGGCGGAGGCACGGCCGAGAUCCAAUUGGCCAUCCCCGAGCACCAAACCCAAAUUGGACCGAGCUAAACGUAGAGGAGGACGAGGCGAGUCGAUUGGAUGGGUUUCUUACCGACGGAAUGAGGCACAGGAGCGUGGCCACGGCGAUGGGCGGAACAGGGACCAGGCGCGAGCUCCGACGAGGAAUUGAGAGCGGCGCGACCGGAGUUUGUGCCCCCCGAGUGGUCACACACCUGCGGAAUGAGUAGAGCAACACCCCGGCACCACCCGAAAGCCUGAUUAUGGAGUAACGACCAACGACAGUGGUGGCGGUGAUGAAGGUUUCUCUCCCCUCUCCCGGCGUCGAUGAUAAACUGGCAGAGGAGUAGUUGGGUCGCGAGGGUAGGCGGAUACGGAAGGAGAGGCGAGCCUGGUGAGCUUUAUACCCGGAACGUGCCCACGGUCGCAGGGAGAAGCCGAGCAACCCCCAUCGCCGAGCUCUGCGGAGUCCGCGCGGGGUCUGUUCCUUCAACCACCAGCGCAAGAAGCGGAGAGGAGAUAGGGAGGGGAUAGAGCUAGCACGGGUCCGCCGUCACCCAUGAGCGCGAGGCAGCGGAGGCGGGCCCUGGGUUUUCCUCCGCGGUUUGCGGCAACAACACCACUGGCGCGCGCGAUUUCCGCGGCUCAGGUUGCGAGUAGCGAGUCCGAGCGCGAGUUAGGAGAUGACCCAAGGAAGCCGGUCGCGGGACCCACGCGACAGCCAAAGGGGGGUUUAGCGCGCGCUGAGGUGGGCUGCCCGCGGAGAAGGAGUGGGCCGCUGGUGGACAUUUCGGCCCAGGUGAGGUCUUCCCCUUCUUUUUUUUAUUUUCUAAUUUCAUUUCAAUUUACAAAUCCAAACUAAAUCAAAUUUGGUUUUAAGACUCCAAUACAAACUACAUGUACAUCACAAAAUUUUCAGCCUGAAUGCAAAUAUAUAUAUAUAUAUAUUAUAUUUGUCUUAUUUAAUUCUUUUAUACAUGAUUCCCAAUCAUAUAAUAGAGAAUAGGUAUUUGAAAAAUGUCUUUUCUAGUUUGUACUUUUCUUUAGUGAAUAAGUAUAAAUAUAUUUUAAUAAAGUAACAAAUUUAUAUGGAGAUUAUUUUAAAUCUUUAUUGGAAACAUAAUUAUGUUAUGUGGUGUUGUCCCACAUGUAAGAAAAGAGAAAAAAAAUUAUUGGAGGAUUUUCUAGCACCAGAAAUCUUUAGAGGAUUUAUUUACUAUUAUCUUAUUUAUUAGUUUAUUUAUUUUCAAAAAAAAAUUCAAGAUGAGAUUUUAGGUGCUACAAAUCCUACCCCCCUUAACAGAAAUCUCGUCCUCGAGAUUUGUAAGAAAAGGGAUGUAUACUCAUAUUGUUCUCGGAACAUGUGCACAGACAAAGAAAUCUCGGCAUGAUGCAUAAUUCUUUAACAAAACAUAGGGUCAAUAGACCUUAUUAUUAUCACUAAAAUAGUAAAAUACUAACUAAUAGCUAAACUAAUAUUUAGGUCUUACAAAUAGUAAAAUAUAUAUGUAUCUAUAUUUAUGUUUAUCUCUAUUCUUGUUGUUCGUUGACUUCUUCACCGACUACUUCAUCUUCAACUAGCUCUUCUUCUUGAAUUUCAUGUUCACUUGGUUCAGCUUCUACUUCUGCAUGAUGGGCAUGUCCCCGGUUGAUAGAUAGGGGCUAACUCUUUCCUGCCGAGGCUUGUCCUUGCUUCAUCGGAGCCGGUGUAGUGUAGGCAGCUCUGUUGGGACAGUAGUUGGCGUAGUGUCCCGGUUGUCCACACUUGAAGCAUGCCCUGUUGGUGGUUGUGUUAGGAGCAACGGGUCCUGCUGGGGUGCUUGCUUUCGGAGGAGCAGUUGGUGUCUGUUGAGUUUGUUGUCCGGUACUUCCACUAGCUGGUGUACUUGGAGUGGUAGUAUAGCGAGGACGGGAACUACUUCCAGCCUGCCCUUGGUUAGCAGCCUUUCUUUUCUCUCCAAAUAUACUCCUCUUGUUUUCUACAGCAAUAGCUUUGUCAAGUAGCCUUUGGAAGGAUGGGAAUGUGUGCGAUACCAGUUGAUAUUGCAAGGGUCCAAUCAAACCGUCCAGAAAAAGCUCCUGCUUUUGCUCAUCAUCCUCAACAUCUCUAGGAGCAUAUCGAGAUAACUGGAUGAAUUUGUCCCUAUAUUCACUCACGGACAUACUUCCUUGCUUGAGGGAGAGAAACUCCUUUCUCUUAAUCUUCAUGAGUCCAGCAGGAAUAUGGUAAUUCCUGAAUUGUGUGGAGAAUUCUGCCUAGGUAAUUGUAUCGACAGCAGCAUGAGCAGCGCAGUACGCAUCCCACCAAUCUGCAGCAGGACCAGUGAGACGACCUGAUGCGUAGAGUACUUUCUCUCGGUCCGAGCACUGAGCUAUGUUGAGCAUCUUCUCUAUAGACUUUAGCCAGUCAUCAGCUUGUAGUGGAUCCGUGGAGUUGGAGAAGGUUGGUGGUUUGUGGCUCAUGAAUUCCCGAUGCUUAUCUCGGGGUGGAACUGGUGGUGGAGGUGGAGGCAAUGGCACCUGUUACUGUUGCUGCUGUUGUUGAAGUUGUUGUUGCAGCUGCUGUUGUUGCACCCUUCUCUCCUGGCGUAUCUCUUCCCGCUCUUGGUGCAUCUCCCGACGUGCAUCCUCUCUUUCCUGGCGCAUUUCCUGGCGUUCUUGCUGCAUUUGGGCGCGCAUAUCUGCCAUAGUGUCAGCCAUUUGCUGCAUCAUCCUCAUUUGAGCUGCAAUCGGUGGGUCAACUCCGCCUGGUGGAGGAUUAGGAGGAUUCAUCUCUGCUGGCUGUGGCUGGGGUUGUCUAUAUAUCCGCCGAGUGUGUCGAUUAGGAGGUAAAUCAAUUCCACCACCCCUCCUGGUAUUGACCAUCUAAGUUAGAAGCAUAUCGUAAGAUAGUUUUGCAAGGGAAUCAUUUGGUAGGCAGAAUGAAUAGGCUGAUAGUUGGUUAUGUACUGAAGAUUCUUUGGUAGGGCUUGACCAGAUAUUUUAUGUCAAGACUGGGGUAACUAGUUGUAUGAGGUGAAUGUCCAAAGGUAAGAUAGAAUCUGAUAAGAUGAGAUAGAUACGGAAUACUAGAUAUUUUUUUAGGGAAAUAAUCUAGUUUAUCUAGUUAUUUUUAUAAACAUUUUUUUAUAUGUAUAUGCAGAUGUAAUUGUGGACAUUACUCCACAACUCAUCACACUCAAUCAAAGAUCCAAAUCAAACAAGUAUCAUAAGAACAAGCAUUUCAAGCAUAUAGCUACAAAAAAAAAUAGUUUUGUUUUUUUCCUAAGAGUAGGUCUCCUAUUCCUAAAGGUCACUUUUAGGCACAGGACUUCAAAGUGUGAAAUCCACAUUUGUCUUUAGAAUGAAAAGGUAAGAAUAAUCAGAGUAAGCGGAAUUAGAUGAGAAAGGAUUAAGAAAAGUUUAGAAAAGAAUCAGAGUAGCAGAGGUAAGUAGAUAAUGGUUGUCCAGUUUUAUCUAGGUUUCGUCCUACAGUCAACAUUCCUCUGAUACCACUUCUGUAACACCCGGUUUUAAGGGACAAAGCCGGGUGCAUCUCAUACAUGCGCCAAAGAAGACAACAUAUAUAAUCACAGAGUGUAUAGAGAUAAAUGUCACAAUAAUCAGAGUACUUAUUACAUAGCGGAAGUCUUACAAAAUAAAAGAUAAAUAUAGCAGGAUCUAAAAUCCAUCCUUGGCGCCAGAAAGUCAACUGAGAGACGCCACCUAGAUCGAAUCGAACUCCUCAUUAAGCGGCUCCACUUGAACCACCUGUUCUUCUCCUGUGGGGGGUGUGAGACAGCAAGAGUGAGCUCACAUACGUUCAUCGCUCAACAAGUUGUGGGGAAUAAUGUGCAUGAACUCACCAAAGGUGGGAGCUCACGUGAAGUGUAAGGCUUUACCAAAGAGGAUGGUUAGAGCUGAGCAUUGCUUUUAAAGUUGGUCAAAAUUUUAUUAGCAAUUACUAAGUAUAAGUAAAUACCAGCCCAAUUAAGUAGUAGAACAAAAGUAACAACCUCACCUGCAAUGCAAUGCAUAUGAUAAAUUGAGUUUAAGUUCCAUAGUUUAAUCAUGUGAGUGUCCGAGCCGCUCAUGACCGUGAGCACGGCUAGUAUACCAGUUUUACACUCUGCAGAGGUUGCGCAUCUUUACCCACAAGUCAUGUUACCCAUCUGCCAAGGGAUCGCGACUUCCCAUACACCUCUACCGAGGAGGCGAGGCAGGGUAACACUACGAGGCCUUUACAAAGUUCCACUAGCUUCAGAAAACCCGCUACAGUUUAUAGGAAGCUCCAAUGCAGGAAUCCCUUGCAGGACCGCCAUCGCAGCAAAAUCCUCCCGAGGGCCUCCCUACACUGACCACUCCCCUACUGCCCUUGCCCCUUUCGGGUAAGGUAGUCUUCCACUAGCUUUCCUAAUUAAUCGGCCAAGGGCGUCCCAUUAAACCCUUGUGGUAGCACUGUUUUCCCGGGUGGUUCUCCAUGUUCCAAUUAACAUAAUGAUCUUAUCAUGAACAGUAAUAAUAAACAGAUAAUAACAGUGUGAUCAUGAAUAAUGUAUCUUCAUACCCAAACCACAUAAAAGCACUAGCAAGUACUACCCAAAAAGUUCAGUGGUAAACAAGGUAUAAAGAUAAUCAAACUAGGGUAACCUAUUGGGUCCCAUCAAAAUUAACCUAUGCAGAUCAUUAUGAUUAAUUAGAACAUGAGUAGGUAAAAAGAAGUGAUCAAGGGCACAACUUGCCUGGGACUUGAGAUUCCAGUACCAACUUGCUUUUCAGAUGACACAAGUCCUCGCGCUAGUCGUAGCAAUACAAACAAACAUGGUAUAGAUAAAAUUAACAUCACACCAAACAUAAGAACAAACUGAAUAAUAAUAAUCUACACGUUGCUACGAGACUAACGCAACUUGAACGAGUCAAAUCGGAGUUAAAACGGAGGAGUUAUGAAUUUCCUAGGGUUUUAUGUGCUUGAAAUGAGAUUAAAUGGGAAAUUGAUUUUCUAACUGUUUUCAUGAUAAAACAGAGACUCUAAGUAAUAGACAAUAACAUUACAAAAUUUUAGAAAUUGGAAUGGAGUAAUUUGGACUUAGUAUGAAUUUUCUAGGGAUUAAACAUGUUUUAAUAAUUAAGUUCACAUUAAAAUCAUUUCUGAAAUUAAUUCAUCUGCCUCUGGUUUGCGCGCAUGAAAUAUAGAAAGUGCAGGGUCUAAUCCGCAAAGGUUCCUAAGACUCAGGCCGCAACCUAGGUGGACGGCGGGUUCAAUUUUAAACUAACCGAGGGGCCCUUCUGCAAUUCUACAAAGCCGAAGCGGUAUCGUCAAAUCUCGGUCUUGCGAUCGCAAAUGGACGGUCCCGAUUAGAUCUCCCUGUGCAAGGAAUUGGUGCGCAACCAGAGCCGUCAAACCAGUGAUCGAAGGUCCGGAUUUAAUAAUGCCCCUAUUCGAUUUUCACCCGCCCGAUUCAAGAUCGACGGCCCCGAUCGGACCUGACCGAACCGGUACCCCCGGCUAAUCGCGACCGUUGGUUAAAAGAUCAACGCUGCAUGUUCUUUUCUUCUCCACCUACCCCAGGCAGCGGCGCCGCUGCCAUGGCUACACGGCGGAGGCACGGCCGAGAUCCAAUUGGCCAUCCCCGAGCACCAAACCCAAAUUGGACCGAGCUAAACGUAGAGGAGGACGAGGCGAGUCGAUUGGAUGGGUUUCUUACCGACGGAAUGAGGCACAGGAGCGUGGCCACGGCGAUGGGCGGAACAGGGACCAGGCGCGAGCUCCGACGAGGAAUUGAGAGCGGCGCGACCGGAGUUUGUGCCCCCCGAGUGGUCACACACCUG